AGCGAACGCUGGCGGCAGGCUUAACACAUGCAAGUCGAGCGCCCCGCAAGGGGAGCGGCAGACGGGUGAGUAACACGUGGGAACGUACCCUUUGGUUCGGAACAACCCAGGGAAACUCGGGCUAAUACCGGAUACGUCCGUAAGAGAAAGAUUUAUCGCCAAAGGAUCGGCCCGCGUCUGAUUAGCUAGUUGGUGAGGUAAUGGCUCACCAAGGCUACGAUCAGUAGCUGGUCUGAGAGGAUGAUCAGCCACAUUGGGACUGAGACACGGCCCAAACUCCUACGGGAGGCAGCAGUGGGGAAUAUUGGACAAUGGGGGCAACCCUGAUCCAGCCAUGCCGCGUGAGUGAUGAAGGCCCUAGGGUUGUAAAGCUCUUUUAGCAGGGAAGAUAAUGACGGUACCUGCAGAAAAAGCCCCGGCUAACUUCGUGCCAGCCGCCGCCGUAA
rnacentral:rRNA from 1 species